CGGGGGGGGCAAGCGUUGUUCGGAAUUACUGGGCGUAAAGGGCUCGUAGGCGGCCAACUAAGUCAGACGUGAAAUCCCUCGGCUUAACCGGGGAACUGCGUCUGAUACUGGAUGGCUUGAGUUUGGGAGAGGGAUGCGGAAUUCCAGGUGUAGCGGUGAAAUGCGUAGAUAUCUGGAGGAACACCGGUGGCGAAGGCGGCAUCCUGGACCAACACUGACGCUGAGGAGCGAAAGCCAGGGGAGCAAACGGGAUUAGAUACCCCGGUAGUCCUGGCCCUAAACGAUGAAUGCUUGGUGUGGCGGGUAUCGAUCCCUGCCGUGCCGAAGCUAACGCAUUAAGCAUUCCGCCUGGGGAGUACGGUCGCAAGGCUG
rnacentral:rRNA from 1 species